rnacentral:rRNA from 1 species
GUGGGGAAUAUUGCACAAUGGGCGAAAGCCUGAUGCAGCAACGCCGCGUGAGGGACGACGGCCUUCGGGUUGUAAACCUCUUUUAGUAGGGAAGAAGCGAAAGUGACGGUACCUGCAGAAAAAGCACCGGCUAACUACGUGCCAGCAGCCGCGGUAAUACGUAGGGUGCAAGCGUUGUCCGGAAUUAUUGGGCGUAAAGAGCUCGUAGGCGGUUUGUCGCGUCUGCUGUGAAAACCCGAGGCUCAACCUCGGGCCUGCAGUGGGUACGGGCAGACUAGAGUGCGGUAGGGGAGAUUGGAAUUCCUGGUGUAGCGGUGGAAUGCGCAGAUAUCAGGAGGAACACCGAUGGCGAAGGCAGAUCUCUGGGCCGUAACUGACGCUGAGGAGCGAAAGCGUGGGGAGCGAACAGGAUUAGAAACCCCUGUAGUCC